rnacentral:lncRNA from 1 species
AAAAUAUCCAUAGGAGCAAACCUAGGAAUCAUUUGAACGAAGUUGCUGUUAAAAUAGAAUUAGCCUAUAAUAUCCUUGCCGGUUAAUUAAAGAAUGUUGAGGUUCCUUGUCUCCGCACCACUGCCAACCCAACAGGCAACCGCAUGCCUUCAAAUCCCGUGAUGGAGGCUAGCUACCGUACGACGUGAUUGUCAGUAGCCGGGGGGCUUCUGUUCCACGGCUACCUGGUGGACGCAAGUGGUACCCAGACCAACCGGCCAAUAUCGCUUUCGCGAGCAUCCUCGGCCAUGGUAAGACCUAUUGGUCAAGUCAUGCUAGCUAGGCUCAAACCAGAAAGGCAACAAUCAGAUGCCGCUGCCUCCAUUUCAUUCCUCUCGACAAACAUUGCAAGGCAGAAGCAGGUUGGCUUCUAUACAAUUAGAACUGGGUUGGUGACAGUACAAGGAUAAAUCCUGACGCCUCUCAUUCUCACAUUGGUGAAGUUCCUAAUGUGAUGUGGAUUGGAGUCAUGUGGAGAAGAGUAUGUAACCAAAGGACCAAUUUGGUUAUCGAUAAAUUUGGAUGAAGACCACUAGAGCAAAAGAGAAAGAUAUCUGGGUUUUGUACCUAAAUUUCACCUUCUAUAUUUUCCUAGAAUAUAUGCCAAUCCAUUUGCCUUCUAUUGUUGCUCCUUAUAAAGAGUAGAAGAACUCGAGGAAUAUUCGCUUUGAUAGUGGAUCAGUCCGAGUAGGAGGCAAGUGAGUUAUGGUGGAAGAAUUGCCAUUACUGAGAAGUGAUUGCACAUUCAGUAUAUGUAGGAUACUUACUAGUUCCCUAUAGAGAUGAACGAGUUAGGUCUAACCAACCAACCUACUCUGGAAGUGAAAAGUCACUAGUCCCAGUCACCAGUUACAAAUAAAAGCCACACCCACACUACACAAGACACCAUCUGGAACGUCUAGAAAGAAAAGAACAGGAGAAUUUUCUUCAACUCACCUGAGACGGCGCUGUAGGUGACUGCAAGAACAAAAGAAGAUAUCCUACAGUGGAGGAGGGCCCAAAUUUGGAGCGUAUAAUCGUUUUUAGUGUUAUUGUAUUUUGUUUCUCAAUCCCCCAGAUCAAGGUUGGGAGGAGGGGGAACUGCUGUACAUAAACUCCUUUUCCAAUCUUAAUUGAAAGGCAGAGCUCUUGCCAGUUCACUUUCAAAAAAUAUUACAAGCCAGCUGCCUAGACUUGUAGAUUAAUUAUAGAAAAAAUGUACCAGCAUUUACAAUAUCAAAUAGUUUUAUUAAUUUUUCUAGGAAUGAUUAUACUUUGAUAGUAGAUUAAUUUUGUACUUGUAGAUGCUAACAUACUUUUUGUUAUAAAACAUCAGAGUUGUUUGACUCAGGACAGAGCUAAAGCGGCAUAUAAUCUGGAAUGCCAAACUAUUUUAUUUAAAGGAGA